UGUUCAAUUGGCACCUUUUUAAAUUUGGGGGUAAAUGCAUAACGUGUCAUGAGUAUAACACAAACUUGCAAAUCUUCAUCAUCGUAAUAUCACAAUCAUCAAAUCAAACACAGGGCAAUAAAGUGAGUCGAAAGAGAGACGAAUACACGGGCAUAAAGCAGCAGAGCAUUCAUUAUCUGUUCAUGAAAGGGUCGUUUUCUCAAACCUAAAACAGAGCAAACGUCUUAUGGAGAUUCAUAUAAUAACUGUAACUUUGAUGAGACAUGAAAAAACCCAUCAUCGAUGGUACACCCACAAAUAAUUUACACACCAACGAUCACAAUUACAAUUUGUUCCACGGAUACAACGACUGUUUGAAGCUCUCUUUGCCUUUAAUGAUCUCAUUUUGGUUCCCUUUUCUGCUUUUUCUCUCUACAUUCGGCUUCAAUCAUGGUAUUCAAGGGAAUGUAGAUGCACAUAAUAGGAACUUUACUAAUGCUACCACGAAUCCGUAUACCGAAGAACUAAGCCAAGAUCGUACAGGUAGUUUGCUUUUAGAGUUCGACGUACCAGGGAAGUCAAAGUCAAAGUCAAACGAUGUUGUAUCUAAUAACCAUAGUUCUGUAGAUACCGAAACGAACCAACUUCAGGGAACGAGUCCUGUCGAAUCAGUAGUUUCAAAAGUUUUAGGUUACUCGACGUUAGUUUGUGAACGGGAAUUUCAAGAUAGUUUUAUAGAAAAGAAAGAAGAGGAAGUGAAAACCGAUAGGGCGAAUCUAACGUAUCCCGAUGUUGAUGAGUAUGCGAACAUUACAAAGCAAGAGUAUGGGUCGAGUGGUGCGUCGGGCGGGUUACUUAACAUAACACAUAGGCUUGAGCCGGAUGGUACGUACUAUAACUACGCGUCGGCAUCGAAAGGCGCGAAAGUUGUGGCUCAUAAUAAGGAAGCGAAUGGAGCAAGUAACAUAUUGGGUUUGGAUCAUGACAAAUAUUUAAGAAACCCGUGUUCUGUUACGGAUAAAUAUGUUGUUAUCGAGCUUGCGGAGGAAACCCUAGUUGACGCUGUAAAUAUUGCGAAUUUCGAACACCAUUCUUCCAAUUUUAAGCAGUUUUUAUUGUCGGGAAAUUUGGUUUUCCCGACUGGAACGUGGUACCCUCUCGGAACUUUUGUCGCUGAAAACGUUAAACACCGUCAAUACUUUAAGUUACCUGAACCCAAAUGGACCCGAUACUUAAAACUGACUUUAGAUAGUCAUUACGGGUCAGAGUUUUACUGCACGUUAAACGUAAUCGAAGUUUACGGUAUAGACGCGAUUGAACGAAUGCUUGAAGAUCUUAUCGUGACGUCAGAAGAAUCAACAAGCGUUAAUACAACCGCAUCUCCCGCUUCAACGAAAACUACAAGCUCAAAUAACUUGAAACCGGACGGUGAAUUUAAGAACGUGGGUGAAGCUGCUAGUCGGAAGAUGGAAGGUGUUGAAGAUGGUAAACGGGUUGAUGAUGACGUGGCGAAAAAGCCUGUCGGUGUGACGAAAAUUCCCGAACUUGUAUCGAAAGGUAAUGGAAGAAUACACGGUGAUGCGGUUUUAAAGAUUUUGAUGCAAAAAGUUAGAUUACUUGAAAAGAAUUUAUCGUUAUUGGAGAAUUGUAUUAAAGAGUUGCAUAAGAGACAAGGGGAUGUUUUUCCGCAACUAGAUAUCGAGGUUGGGAAGUAUUCGGAGCUUGUGGAGAAUACGCGAUUGCAAAUUAAGGAUCUUUUGUUAUGGAAGGCAACUAUGGUGCGUUUGUUUACUUUAAAUGGAAAAAGAAAUUGCUGAGCUGGAGUCGUGGAAGGAUUUUGUGUCGUCCCAUCUGGAGUCGGUUGUCAAAGAAAACGCCAGUCUCAGGCUAGCAAUUGAGAAGAUCGCGAGUGAUCAAGAGAACCUUGACAAAGCUGAGUUGACUGUGCUGACUGUGAGUGUUUCCUUUGCGAUUGCUGCCAUUUUAAAGAUUGUUUCCGAUCGAAUAUUUAAAUCGCCUUACAGCAAACCGCACAGAAACGAGACAAGUUGGAAAUUGCUACUGGUUACCUGUGUAGUAACUGCAAUUGUUGUUUUAAACUUGUGUUAACAAUUUAACCAAAACUAUAUCUUUGCAGUUGAAGAAAAUAGAAGCAAAUAGUAACUUUUAGACGCGUUAUACGCUUUAUUGUAGUUCUUUUAGACGUUUACGUUUGAUGUAAAGGCGAAAUCAAACUUUAUCUAGAAAUAGAUUUUCAA